AGAAAAUAAUAAACUCCAAGGUCCCCUUCCAUCUUCAAUAUUCCAACUUCUCAAUCUUACCGGGCUCCUUUUAUCCUCAAAUAAUCUUAGUGGUGUCAUAGAGUUUCGCAUGUUCUCAAACCUUCCAAAUCUCAAAUAUCUUUACCUUUCAUAUAACAACCUAUCCUUAACAUCUAAUUCUACUUCUACUGUUAAUCAUAUAUUGCCUAAUCUUACAGACGUACUUUUGUCAUCUUGCAAUCUUAGUGAAUUCCCCCAGUUUUUAAAAGGGCUUAAAAGUUUGGAAAGCUUAGACCUCUCUUGCAACAAAAUUGAAGGCAAGAUUCCACAGUGGAUGCAAGAGGUGGGGAAUGUCUCUUUGACUUACUUCAACGUAUCUCACAACUCUUUGACAGAAGUUGAGCACUUUCCAUGGAAGAAUAUUGAAAGGCUUGACUUAAGCUCCAAUUUGAUCAGUGGAAAUCUUCCGAUUCCAGCUUCGACCAUCAGUGUCUUUUUUAUCUCAAAUAAUAGUUUCAAUGGAGAGGUCUCUUCUUUAAUAUGCAAUGCCAGUUCUCUUCGAAUUCUUGAUUUGUCCCACAAUAACUUGAGUGGACCAAUUCCGCAAUGUUUUGGAAAUUUGAGUGACAGCCUUGAAAUCUUGAAUCUGAAGAAGAACAAGUUCUAUGGGACGAUUCCUCCAAAAUUUGCAAAGGGAUGCCGAUUGACUAAUUUCAACUUAAAUGGAAAUCUGUUAGAAGGGCCAUUGACUCCAUCCAUCCUUAAUUGUAGGGGUCUGGAAGUGCUAGAUCUUGGUAACAACAAGAUCAAUGAUACAUUUCCUCAUUGGUUGGGAAGUCUUCCACAGCUACAAGUUCUUGUAUUGAAGUCAAAUCAUAUGCAUGGUUCCUUAUGUGUCAAUAGCUCUAAGUCUAGCCCUUUUUUCUCUAAAAUCCAAAUUUUUGACCUCUCAAGUAACUAUUUUUCUGGACCCCUACCAGUGAGAUACAUCAACAGCUUCAAGGCUAUCAUAAAUGUAGAGAAGAUUGGUAGUACAGUGUCGUACAUGGGGGUGAAUGAUGAUGGAGGUGACUUCUAUACCUAUUCCAUUGGAAUUGUCAUGAAAGGGAGAGAUAUGGAAUUGGUGAAAAUUUUCACCAUGUGGAUGAUCAUUGAUCUAUCAAACAAUCAGUUUGAAGGGGGUAUUCCAGAGGUUUUUGGGAAGCUUAACUUACUGAAAGGGCUCAACCUUUCUCAUAAUAACCUUAAUGGUGGUAUCCCCACCUUAAUAGGGAAUUUGACAAGUCUUGAAUGGUUGGACCUAUCUUCAAACAGGUUGUCUGGGACGAUUCCAAAUAGAUUGGCAGAUCUGCCAUUUCUUUCGUCCUUCAAUGUUUCUGAAAAUCAACUCCAUGGUCAGAUUCCUCAAGGCAAACAGUUCAACACAUUUGGAAAUGAUUCAUAUGAAGGAAACAAGGCAUUAUGUGGAUUUCCGGUCUCAAAAGGUUGCAACAUCAUUGAGCCAGCACCUCCAAAUGUGCUUGAAAAAGAUGGCUCAAAAUCAAACAUUACUUUUGGUUGGAAAGUGGUGUUGAUAGGUUAUGGAUGCGGAGUGGUGUUCGGAAUGUCCGUGGGAUAUGUUGUUUUCCAAACUGGUAAGCCGAAAUGGUUGGUGAAUUUGGUUGAAAUCCAACAUGAGAAGAAGCGAAGAAGAAAGUCAAAGGAUGGCAGUCGCAGCAAUGGACGAAGAAGAAUCUAGUUAGUGGAAAUGAUGUUCAAGUGUUGAUGUUGUAUCUUCAUAAUUUCUUGUUUUGAAGUCUGUCAAAUUUUUUUCCUAUCGUGAAAGGCUGCAUUGCCAUGCAUCUGUCUUUUUUAUUGUAACCAUUCAUCUAUAUUUCAUUGCAUUACGUAGUAUUUGUAAGGGUUUGUUUUAAAUGUAACAUUUUGUAUGGUUCAACUAUUUAUGUCUCUUUCAUGAGUUUCAUUUUUGAGUCUCAAUAAUCUCUGCAUUCAAGAUUUUGUCAGCUUAUUAAUUGGUGGAUCAAUAAUCUUCAUGCUCAUCUCAUCAUCUUUUUCUCGAGUUAAACACAGUCACUACUAUAAUAAUUUCUUCUGUGUGGAAAAUAAUUUGGCAUUCUGCAAAUUUCCACAAUGCUUGUGGAUUACCUCUGGUUGACGGCUAUACAUAUAAAGGAAGGAAACAAGACUAUGUCAAAAUUUCCAAAAAUCAGUCAUUCAUUUUUGAACAAUUAAACAUUCCUAUUCUAUUUUUCAAAAUUGUAAAUCCUCAAAUAAUGUAAAUUAGUCCUAAAACUCAAGUUUUGAAAUCUUUACAAUUUAACCCCUUAUAGUUUCAAACUUUACUAUUUUAUGCUCAACUUUCUAAAUCUUCAUAUUUCAUGAUCAUAUAAUUUAGUUAUUACAUCAAUAUUUCAGAUUUCACUACUCAAACCCUUACUUCAUUUUGGUCCUUACUUCAAUUUUUUCAAAUUAAAUCAAUUUUCAAUUUGACUGCAUUGAUGUGAAAUUGAGGGAGCACUAAACAAUGUUGAUGCGAGUUUAGGUAAAAUUGGUGGAUCCCAUCUCCUUAGUAAUUUCUUUAUGGAAGUAGCUGCUUUCACACUGCAAACUUGAAUAGUUUGUGGUGGACGAUGAUGAAUCAUUUGACAAUCAAACACAUAAUUUUUAAACACAAAAUUAACGAUAUUUUGAAAUCAUUAUUGAAAUUAUAAUCAAAAUUAAUACAUGUUCUUUUUAUUAGCUUAAGGUCGUAAAAACCCUUCAAAAUUUUCAAAAAAAAAAAAAAUUUAAGUCCCUCUUUUUUUUUUUCUAAUUUUUAAUAAAAGUAGGGGCUUAAUUGCUUUUUUUUUUUUAAGUUUGAGGGUCUUUUUGAUGCAUUUUGAAAGUUCAAGUACCCAAUUGAGUGCAAGAAGAAAGUAGGGGCUUAAUUGCUUUUUUUUAUGUAUUUUGAACGUUCAUGUACCCAAAUGAGUGCAUAAAAAAAACAGGGGUUUAGUUGCUAUUUUUGAAAAGGGUUUGAGGGCUUUUUGCACCCUUAAACCUCUUUUCUUUUUCUAAAUUUAAUUUAGAACCAACUUUGAGUAAAGACUUGGGAAAUUUAAUUAGCAAAAUUUCUUUCCAUGUAAAUAUUUCCCCUAUUUCUUGUUGGAAUUUAAAGCAAUACAAUAUUUUUGUAGCUAGUAACAGAAAACGACAGUCAAUUAAUUCCAAGCAAUACAAAAUAUCCAGUCUGGUGGAAAAUUUGUUUGUUAGAUUCUAUUAUUCAACUUUUAAGGCAUAAGUCUGAAUAUAGGGACUAAAUUUUUAAAGUGUUGUUUAUUUUAAAAUCUAUUAAUAUAUACACACUUAGGGACCAUAUAUAUAUAUAUCAUAUAUAUAUAUAUAUAUUCCAUUCUGGAUCUUUGUCGUGUUUUGUUGGUUGGCUCUGGCCUUGUUGUUGUUUCCACUGCCUGUGGUCUCUGUUUCUAAGUCAUAUGUGGCCUUGUUUGCUAGACCUUAGUUGCUCUUCACAUGUCUUGUAUUUUGUCAAGUUAAUUGAAAUGGAAAAUAAAAGUGUUGGCAUUACAGAUUAGAGUAAAAGGAAUUAGUGUUGAAGUUGGGGUUGUUCAAUUGUUGGAAUUCAUGUGUGUAUUUUUUUGAGUAUCUGGGUCUUUGUCGUGUUUUCUUGGUUGGCUAUGGCGGCCUUCUUGUUGUUCCCACUGUCUGUGGUAUUUGUUUCUAAGUCAUAUGUGGCCUUGUAUGCUAGACCUUAGUUGCUAAGUUAAAGGGAGUGAAUAGAGCACCAUAUUUCUUCUUCUGCGUGGAAAAUAAGUUGGCAUUAUGCCAAUUUCCACAUUCAUACAUAUAAAGGAAGCAAGAGCAAGUCAAUAUACUUUGUAAUCUCAUCAAUUCUUCUUCUUUCUUUAGGGAGUUCAAAUGAAAUACAAAUUUUUGGUAAAUCAACUCUUCAUUUUUAUGAAUAAAAAUUAUAUGGUAGAAAGGAAGUGGUGUUAAUAAUAAUAAUAAUAAUAAAAAGAUUAACAAUAGAACACUAAUAAAGCAAUUUAGUCUAUGAUCUGCACAAUAUAUUACUACAAAUGUACCGUACAGAAUAUUGAAAGAAAACUAAUAAAGAAGUUCGAAAUUUAAACAAUGUUCCGCAAAUUAUGUUUAUGAUCUGCUGUAAAUUGAUAUGUUAAAUCAACUCUUCAUUUUUAUGAAUAAAAAUUAUAUGGUAAAAAGGAAGUGGUGUUAAUAAUAAUAAUAAAGAUCAACAAUAGAAAACUAAUAAAGCAAUUUAGUCUAUGAUCUGCAUAAUAUAUUACUACAAAUGUACCGUACAGAAUAUUGAAAGAAAACUAAUAAAGAAAUCCGAAAUUUUAACAAGGUUCCGCAAAUUAUGUUUAUGAUAUGAUGUAAAUUGAUAUGUCAAAUUUUGUGGCAAGUAAUAGAAAAUGACAAAUUCCACAUUCAUACAUAUAAAGGAAGCAAGAUCAAGUCAAUAUACUUUGUAAUCUCAUCACUUCUUCUUCUUUCUUUAGGGAGUUCAAAUGAAAUACAAAAUUUUGGUAAAUCAACUCUUCAUUUUUAUGAAUAAAAAUUAUAUGGUAAAAGGAAGUCUUGUUAAUAAUAAUAAUAAGAUUAACAAUAGAAAACUAAUAAAACAAUUUAUCCAAAUAUCAAAAUAAAUAUUAACUUUUUCAGAAACCAAAAUUAUUUUCUAAAAAUUAUUUUUUAAAAACUAUUUUUAGUGAAACAAACUGAGUCUUAGCCCAUAUUGUAAAUUAUUUUGUGGGUCUGGAAUUCUUGUACAUUAUGCUGCAAAAGAGUGAAAUUUCCUUACAGCUAGUCGAUCAAGUUUGGUUGAAAUUGAAUGCAUUGAUGUGAAAUUGAGGGAGCCUAAACAAUGUUGAUGCGAGUUUAGGUAAAAUUAGUGGAUCCCAUCUCCUUAGUAAUUUCUUUAAGGAAGUAUCUGCUUUCACACUGUGUUGACAACUUCCCACAGAUCAAAGGCCUGCAGGUAAGUCUUCAUAUUUACCAGCCAUAUGUGAAAACCUUCUCCAUUGAAGACUGGUGGGACUGCUGGUGAAAAUCCUGAAGAAGCCAUCAGGUUUCUUGAUUUGAAGCAACAGGUCCACUAAGAAAAGGGCUCUAGAUACCAAUUGUUGGUGUAAAAGGGCAGAAGCAAACUGAUUUAAGCUUGCUUAUACAGCAAGCCUCGAGCCUUGUAGAAGAAACAAUCUCAGCAGAAAGCAAAAAUGAAGCUUGCAGUUGGAAAAACAAGAAAACAAGGAGAGAAUUUGAAUGAAAAACAAGCUGAGUUGUUCAUUAACAUUACAACAAGGCAUAUUGCCAUUACAUAUAUCAGUUAACUUGUCAAAUAAACAAGUAAUCACCUAAUCAAUUACCUAACACCACUAAUAUGCAUUGAAACUUACAAAAUUAGCUUGCAAACAUUACAUUGCUGAUAUUUCAGUCAAUCAACAUCAAAAUUACACCAAAACAUUCACCUGCUUAGUUCAAUGUGAACUAGAUUACAAAAUGAUUAAAAUACAACUAAAACAACAAGUGGUUCAGUAACUUGAAGCUUCAGCUGCUGCACACCAUGGCUCGAUUGCCUGCUGCCAUUUCUUCUUGCAUGGCCACCUUUGCAUGGGAACUAAACUCAACAUACACGAACUAAUGCAAAUAUGCUAGUGGUUUAUUUUCCACCUAUCUGAUUUUUUAAAAUGUUCUUCAGUUACACCAGUUGAUGCAAUCUAUUAUUACCUGCCUCGUUGCAAAAAGGUUAGGAAAUAAAUUCACCGACAAUCAUUGGGAACUAAGAAACUUCGCAGCAAAGCUAGUGGCAUCAAUAUGCAAAAGGUGAAGAUUCUUUUCUUUUGGACUUAUACAUGCAUAUUCGUUUUUAUGAAUUUCAGGUGUCUGAGUUUUUAGUUAUAAACUUGGAUCUAUUCUUCAAAUCAUGUGUAUAUCAUUUUUAUGCUAUUUCACACUUGCAAAACAAAUGGUGCGAGCGUGCAUGUUAUAUGCAGAAUACAUAGAUUAAUUACAUGUGGAUCAUUAAGCAUGCCUAUGUUUGACGAUUGUGUGUGGCUACCUUUUUUUACAUGAUCCAAUUUUCGAUAUGCUUUGCUUUUAGGUUGAAUGCGGAAAAGAUUAGAACUUAAUUUCCAGCAUAAUGAUUUGUCUUGGAUAUGCAGAUUUUACAUGCAUUUCUUACAAGUCAAUAUUUUAUAGAUUUGGGCAUGUUUAUCACAAUCUUCAGCCACGUGUGACAAGGACACUGCUCCACGCUUUUUUGGACCCAACGAAAACAUUUCCCCAGUAUUACGGAGCAAUUCAAGGGUUAGCAGCCCUUGGACCCAGUGUGGUAUAAUUCUAAUCUCAAAUAUUUACUAGCAACACAAUAAGAUACUUGUUUGUGGGAUCAAUUGGUCAAAGAUAUUGCAAUGAUAGCCAUCUUUUUAAGCCCAUUUCUUUCAGAAAACUGUUUUGUCACUCUUUUCUGCAAGAUCCGAAGAAAGAAAGAACAUGGAAAUCUUUAGUCCAAAAGUGUAAAUAUGCGGUUUCUCUAUAGCUAUCUUGAUUAUGGCAUCUGUAAAGUUUGUCUUUCAUAUGUUUGGCUAACGCUUCUUCAUCCAUAUGUAGGUUCGUUUACUUAUACUACCAAACCUUGAAGCGUAUUUGCAGCUUCAUGAACCUGAAAUAAAAAGACACGAGGCCUGGUGUUUUUAUGGGGCCCUGCUGGUAAGUUUAACAUCAAAUUUGGUACCAGUUUACGAGCAUCAUUUCAUUUAUUUGCUAUAGAACUAACAACACUGCAUAAAAUUUCCACUAAAAGCGUGCAGCUGGACUGUGCAUGUAUGAUCGGCUUAAAAUGUUCCCCAGUUUGCUAGCACCCCCAACUCGGCCCGUCUGGAAAAGCAACAACAAAGUUGCGACAAGUAUGAUUUCUUCGAACCAUCAUAUUUACACUUAAUCCACAGGUCUCUUCUCCCCCUUUACGAUUUUCCUUUUUCUGAUCAAUCAAGAUAAACGAAAAGCAAGCACGGACGCCUUGAUGCAGCAGCAACCACCUGCGAAGAAAAUAGCAACUGAGAGUGCAAUAGGUAUGAUGCCAAUAAAUUCCAUGCAAACUGAUUUACAAGGGGCAGUUAGCAGCUUUUCUACCACCGUAGGAGGUUCCAAUAUCGGUGUAUCAUCAAUGUCACGGCCGUUAUCAAACGAUAACAUGCUAGGAAGGGAGGUUGGGGGUCGAGUUUCAAGGACAUCAACCGUUCUAGCUCAGGCUUGGAAGGAAGACACAGACCCAGGGAACUUGUUAGCAUCAUUAUUUGAACUUUUUGGUGAAAGUAUGUAAUUAAAAUAAUAUAUUGGCUUAACCCUCCUAAAUUAUGUAUUUUUUUCCAUCUUGGGACCUAAAUUUUUUUGGGGUCAUAAGUGGUACCUAAACUACAUUUUUUCUCCUUCAAAUUAGUAUCUUCAUUAAUUAAACCGUUAAGUCUAUUUAAAAAAGAAAGACUCGAACAACAAAUUAAUACCUAAACAGUGCUCUUUUUCUCAAGGUACCUAAUUUUUAUUUUGGCCAUAAGUACUACUAAAACUAUUCUUCCGUUACUCAUUUUACACCAAAAUGUUAUAUCGGCUGAAAAGAUUCCAACAAAUAAUAGAUUGUAUGUUAUAUAAACUUUUAAAAAUAAUUAUUAUUUAAUUAAUUUUUUAUAUUUUUCUUUCUUAUUCCUUUCUAAUGUUUGGCAAUGCUGAUAAUGUUUGAAAUUGUCCCACUUGAGGUCAAAAUACUGGUGAUUAAUUUUGGUUUUGAAUUUCACCACCUACUUCUUUGACCUAAGGGGAUAGAAAAUGUUCUUUUAUCGAUCAAAACUAGUAUUUUCAAAAACAGAUUGAUUCAACUGGUUGGAUAGGAAAUCGGUCUGGAAAUAAGGGUUGAAUCGAUUGACUUGCGACCAAAAACAAAUCAGUUGAACUAAGUUAAAAAAACUGGUUGAACUAGUUCUCUCCAUUUAUAUAUAUAUAAAUAAUAAUAGUCUUUUUUUGUACUAUAUGUCAAUUUUUAAUUGGUUAAUUUUUUUUUUCAUAUAAACUGAACGGUUUGACUAAUGACGGAGGUACCAAAUUAUAGUCUAGGUACCAAUUCAUGGGUUAAGCCUAUUUCUACAAUAGACUUUUGACUAAUGGCGGUAGUAACUUGGGAAAAAAAAAGUAGUUUAUGUACCACUUGUGACAAAAAAUAAGUUUAGGUACUAUCAUGGGAAAAUGAGUAUAAUUUAGAUACUAAUUUAUGAGUUAAGCCUAAUAUAUUUGCCACAUCAUUUUUUGAAAAUAACAGAACUUAAUAAAUUUAACGGUUAUUAUUUGAUGAUGACUAAAAUUUUUAAAUUUGAAAAGUACAUGAACUAAAAAUGACCAAAUUAAAGUAUAAAGAUUAAGUCCACAACUUUUGCAAAGUACAAGGACUAAUAGCAGAAAUUAACCUAAAUUUCAUAUGGGUCAAUUACAAUAAUAAUCACUAAACUAUUCCUUUGGUUCUAUUCUAGUCACUCAACUAUAGAGCUGCUCAUGAGCCGGGCCAGGUUAGGCCUAAGCAUGAUAUUAACGUACUUUAUGCUUGCUCAAGCUUGGCUCGGCCCGAAAUAUGAGCUUAAAAUUUCGCCUAAACUCAUCAAUAUUUGCAAAAGACUAACCCAAGCUCAUUUUAGGCAUGCCCAUAUAAUUUUUAGUUUUUUUUUUUUAAAUAUUUAUAUUAUAUUAUUUUAAGAAUUAAUAAUUUGAACUAUAGUAUUAUUAUAUAUUUAGUAUAAGUUUAUUUUUUAAUCUGUUCUAAAUUAUAUAAUAUAAAAUAUUAUACACUUAAAAACGGGCCGGGCUGGGCUCGAGCUUUAAAUGUUCAAGUCUUAACCCGGCCCAUAUUUUAAACGGGCUUAAUUUUUUUACCAAAACCCAAUUUUCGGGCCUAAUUUUUUUACUCAGACCCUCCCAAAUUUUGGGCUGCCCUUGGGCUUUGGCAAGUAGCCCAACUCAUGAACAAGUUUACUCAACUAUUAAUUUUUUCGAUUUAGUUGUUAACCUUUUCGAAAGUAAAUAUUUUAGUCAUUCUCCUAUUAGUUGUUGUUAAACGAGUGACGGAAAGCUGAUGUGGGCUUUUUUUAUUAGUCUAAUAACAAAUUUAGCCCUCCAAUGUUUACACAUUCUAUCAAUUUGAUCCUAGAUAUAAAAAAAUCAACAAAUUUAGCCCUGAAUGUUAACAAAACUUGUCAUUUUAGUUCAAAUUCUAAAAAAUUUAAUAAAUUUAACCCUUAAUAUUUUCAAAAAUUAGCAAUUUAGUUCUAAUUCUAAAAAUUUUAAUAUAUAUAUUUAAAAAAAUAUUUUUAAUCAUCUGUCUCACCCUUUGAUUUUUUAGAUGAGCUAAAAUCAAAAUGAGAUAAAAAAAAAUAAAAAGUUAAAAUGACUUUUCGUUUGUAAAGUUAAAAAAUGCUAAAUAAAUCAUUAUGUCUUUUUAGUUUUAAUUUUUUACUUGAUUAAAAGAGAAAUAAUUAACAAAUGAAAAAUAAUUAUUUCUAUAUAAAUUUAUCAAAAUUUAUAACAAAUGAUAUUUUAGAUUUGAAUUAUCAGACUAUAUAUAUAUAAGUAUACACAUUUUUAUGAAAUAAAAGAUUUUGCUAAAAGAAAAAGCAUCCAAUUUUAAGAAUGAAAAAUAUAUGGUAAAAGCAUCCAUAACUUUUCAAUGUUAAAGACAAAAAAGACUGUAACACCAAUGUUGUGGUAUUAUUUGUUGCCUAUAAAUACCAUUCCUAUCCUUCUUCUUCCUCUACCAACAUAACAUGGCCUCCUAUCUCUUUCUCUCCCUAUUCCUCUUCUUUCUCCAUCUUUAUGCUUCUUUUUCUUCUUCAGGAUCUCACUCCUGCUCUUCACUAAUCCAGUUUAAGGACUCCUUUUCCAUAAGAGAGGAUGCUUCUUUUGAUCAUUGCGAUUAUUUUGCUGGCCUUAAAUCUUAUCCCAAGACAAAUUCAUGGAAGGAGGGUACAGAUUGCUGCUCAUGGGAUGGGGUCACUUGUGACCACCUAAAUGCUCAUGUUAUUGCCCUUGACUUGAGCUGCAGUUGGCUAUAUGGCACCUUCCCUUCCAAUACCACUCUCUUCCUUCUUCCUCACCUUCAAAAACUCAACCUUGCCUACAAUGAUUUUAAUUCUUCCAAAAUUCCAUCCGAGUUCGGUCGGUUUACAAGCCUAUUCUACCUCAACCUUUCCAAUACAUGGUUUUCAGAAGUCCCAUCCCAAGUCUCCCACCUGUCAAAAUUGGUUUCACUUGAUCUUUCUGGGUUUGAUGAACUAUUAACAAUUGACAAAUAUGCUCUGGAGGGUCUUGUUCACAACCUAACCGAGGUCAGACGUCUGUUUUUGGAUGAAAUGGACAUGUCUUCAGUUAAUGCUCAUGUCUUCAUGAAUCUAUCCUCUUCUCUAAGGUCUCUCAGUCUUGUUGGUUGUGAUUUGCAAGGAAAAUUCCCAAAAAACAUUUUUGAUUUGCCAAACCUCAAUCUCCUCAACUUGGGAGGCAACCAAAACCUCAAUCUUGAUCCUUUGAAGUUCAAUCGGAGCAGCAAUCUUGAACAAUUGAUAAUUUCAGACGCAAAUAUUUGUGGAGGAUUGCCUGACUCGAUGGGGAAUCUUGUGUCCUUGAAGUUUUUAGUUCUCUCCCAUUCCAACUUAUCAGGACUGGUUCCAAGAUCACUGGGGAAUCUCUUGAAACUCACUCAUUUAGACUUGUCGGAGAACCAAUUGAGUGGACAAAUUCCAAGAAAAUUGGGGAACCUCUUGCAACUCACUCAUUUAGACUUGUCGAAGAACCAAUUGAGUGGACAAAUUCCAAGAUCAUUAGGGAACCUCUUGCAACUCACUCAUUUAGACUUGUGGCUGAACCAAUUGAGUGGACAGAUUCCAAGAUCAUUGGGGAACCUCUUGCAACUCACUGUUUUAGACUUGGGAUGGAACAAAUUGAGUGGACAAAUUCCAUUGUCAAUUCUAAACCUAACGCAGCUGGAAUACUUGACAAUAUCUAACAAUUCUUUAGAAGGUUCCAUUCCAGAUGAGGUAACCGCUUUUCAUAAUCUAAUAUAUUUAGACUUAUCUGACAAUUUACUCAAUGGAACACUGCCGUCAUGGUUGUAUACUGCUCCCUCCUUAAAGACAAUAUAUCUCUCUCAAAAUCAAUUCAGUGGGCAUAUCAAAGAAUUCCAAUCCAAAUCACUAGAAUGGAUAUGGUUAGAGAAUAAUAAACUCCAAGGUCCUCUUCCAUCUUCAAUAUUCCAACUUCUCAAUCUUACCCAACUUAGCUUAUCCUCAAAUUAUCUUAGUGGUGUCAUAGAGUUUCGCAUGUUCUCAAACCUUCCAAAUCUCGAAUAUCUUGACCUUUCAUAUAACAGCCUAUCCUUAACAUCUAAUACAACUUCUACUGUUAAUCUUACAAGCUUAUUUUUGUCAUCUUGCAAUCUUAGUGAAUUCCCCCAAUUUUUAAAAGGGCUUAAAAGUUUGGAAAGCUUAGACCUCUCUUGCAACAAAAUUGAAGGCAAGAUUCCACAGUGGAUGCGAGAGGUGGGGAAUGGCUCUUUGACUCACUUAAAUGUAUCUCACAACACUUUGACAGAAGUUGAGCACUUUCCAUGGAAGAAUAUUGAUGUUCUUGACUUAAGCUCCAAUUUGAUCAGUGGAAAUCUUCCGAUUCCAGCUUCGACCAUAAGAGUCUUUUUGAUCUCAAAUAAUAGUUUCAAUGGAGAGGUCUCUUCUUUAAUAUGCAAUGCCGCUUUUCUUGAAAUUCUUGAUUUGUCCCACAAUAACUUGAGUGGAACAAUUCCACAAUGUUUUGGAAAUUUGAGCAACAGCCUUCUAUUCUUGAAUCUGAAGAAGAACAAGUUUUAUGGGACGAUUCCUCCAGCAUUUGCAAAGGGAUGCCGAUUGAGUAAUUUCAACUUAAAUGGAAAUCUGUUAGAAGGGCCUUUGACACCAUCCAUGAUCCAUCCUUAAUUGUAAUGGUCUGGAAGUGCUAGAUCUUGGUAACAACAAGAUCAAUGAUACAUUUCCUCAUUGGUUGGGAAGUCUUCCACAGCUACAAGUUCUUGUAUUGAAGUCAAAUCAACUGCAUGGUUCCUUAUGUGUCAAUAGCUCCAAGUCUAUCCCUUUUUUCUCUAAAAUCCAAAUUUUUGAUCUCUCAAGUAAUUAUUUUUCUGGACCCCUACCAGUGAGAUACAUCAACAGCUUCAAGGCUAUCAUAAAUCUAGAGAAGAUUGGGAGUACAAUGUCGUACAUGGGGGUGUAUGCUCAGAGAGGUAGUGCCUUCUAUACCCAUUCCAUUGGAAUUGUUAUGAAAGGACAAGAUAGGGAAUUGGUGAAAAUUUUCACCAUGUGGAUGAUCAUUGAUCUAUCAAACAAUCAGUUUCAAGGGGGUAUUCCAAAGGUUAUUGUGAAGCUUAACUUGCUGAAAGGGCUCAACCUUUCUCAUAAUAACCUUAAUGGUGGUAUCCCCACCUCAAUAGGGAAUUUGACAAGUCUUGAAUGGUUAGACCUAUCUUCAAACAGUUUGUCUGGGACGAUUCCAAAUAGAUUGGCAGAUCUGCCAUUUCUUUCGUCCUUCAAUGUUUCUGAAAAUCAACUCCAUUGUCAGAUUCCUCAAGGCAAACAGUUCAACACAUUUGGAAAUGAUUCAUAUGAAGGAAACAAGGGAUUAUGUGGAUUUCCGGUCUCAAAAGGUUGCAACAUCAUUGAGCCAGCACCUCUAAAUGUGCUUGAAAAAGAUGGCUCAAAAUCAAACAUUACUUUUGGUUGGAAAGUGGUGUUGAUAGGUUAUGGAUGCGGAGUGGUGUUCGGAAUGUCCGUGGGAUAUGUUGUUUUCCAAACUGGUAAGCCGAAAUGGUUGGUGAAUUUGGUUGAAAUCCAACAUGAGAAGAAGCGAAGAAGAAAGUCAAAGGAUGGCAGUCGCAGCAAUGGAUGAAGAAGGAUCUAGUUAGUGGAAAUGAUGUUCAAGUGUUGAUGUUGUAUCUUCAUAAUUUCUUGUUUUGAAGUCUUUCAAUUUUUUUCCUAUGGUGAAAGGUUGCAUUGCCAUGCAUCUGUCUUUACUUUUGUAACAAUUCAUCUGUCAUAAUAUUAUAGAUUUUAUUGAUUUUAAUUUUUUCUCUAAUUUUUAAUAAAAAUAGGGGCAUAAUUGCUUUUUUUUUUUAAGUUUGAGAGUAUUUUUUAUGCAUUUUGAAAGUUCAAGUACCAAAUUGAGUGCAAAAAAAAAAAGAGUAGGGGCUUAAUUACUUUUUUUGAAAAUGUUUGAGAGCUUUUUUGAUGUAUCAAAUGAAAUACAAAUUUUGAGUAAAUCAACUAUUCAUUUUUAUGAAUAAAAAUUAUAUGGUAAAAAGGAAGUAGUGUUAAUAAUAAUAAAAAAGAUCAACAAUAGAAAACUAAUAAAGCAAUUUAGCCUAUGAUCUGCGCAAUAUAUUACUACAAAUGUACUGUACAAAAUAUUGAAGAAAACUAAUAAAGAAAUCUGAAAUUUUAACAAGUUCCGCAAAUAAUGUUUAUGAUUUGCUGUAAAUUGAUAUGUCAAAUUAGGCUCUCCAUCACACUUAAAAGUUUAUUUUCGAGCAAUUUAGAUAUCUUUGUUGCGUUUUUAUUUUGUUUUAGUUGUUUAUAUUAAUAAAUGAUUAGUGUGCAUUUUGAUGCUAUUUUAAGACCUGAGAUGGCCAAAUGGCACCCGGGGAAUCUAAUGAGGUUGGUGAGUGAUGCAGAGAGCCCAUGGUGGCCCGGAAGGAACGAAAAUGUUACCUAGAAAGAGGGUAUCGCAUUUCAAAGCAUGAAAGUCGUAAUACCCAUAACAAUGUUAAAAACAAGGAAGAUUGAGCCAUCAACAAUGUUAUCGUGAUACCGGUCAUAAGAUAUCGCGAUACCCAAAACUUCCAAGGAUCCCCCAAGACUGUUGUGGAUAUCGCGAUACCAAACUUUGGGUAUCGCAAUAUCAUUGAUGAGAGGAGACAAAAUAUAACUGUAGGGGUAAUCCUUUUCCAACAUGUGGAAUGGCCAUGGGAUGUGUUGUUUUCCAAACCGGUAAGGCGAAAAGGUUCGUGAAUUUGGCUGAAGACCAACAUGAGAAGAGGCGAAGAAGAAAGCCAAAAUAUAGCAAUCGCAUCAAUGGAUGAAGAAGGAUCUAGUUGGUUCAAAUGAAGUUAAAGCAUUUGUGCUGUGUCUUCAUAAUUUCUUGUUUAGUAGUCUGUCAGAAAGUUUUUCCUAUGGUGAAAAGUUGCAUUGCUAUGUGUCUGUUUUUAUGAUUGUACCAAUUCCUCUGUAUUUCAUUGCAUUUCGUACUAUUUGUAAGGGUUUAGUUCAGUGUAACAUCUUGUAUGGUGCAACUAUGUAUGUCUUCUUUCUUGAAUUUCAACUUUUAGUAAACAUUAUACUGCUCACCAUAAAAAAAAUACAUGUAGAAUUACAAAAGAUUCAAUUAUUCAAGUUUGAGUUGCAUUUAUAAACAUGUGAUGAUGAGAAUUCAUGAACAAAAGGUAUGGUUUGAGCCCUUUUGCAAUAUGCGUUUAUGUUGCAUUUACCUAUAUAUCUAUCGACAAAUUUAAGAGUAAUAUUUACAAUAGCAUUGCAGAGUAACAUAUUUACGAUUGGAUUACACAGUCAAAAGAUUGCAGCAACGAUGAGAUUAAUCCAAUUACAGGAAUUGAUAUCCUAAAUGGCUUUUAGGUACGUAGCUUCAUUGACGGUACAAACUAGUUAAAAUUUCCAGAAUUCAUGUCUUUGUUUUCCCUCAAGUAAACGUAGUCAAUACUGCAAAUGGUGUGGAAGUAUUGUACAUUGUGGCCCAAAUGUCCAAAAUUUCCACAUUGCUUGUAAAUUAAGUGAUGAAAACCAAAACUGUUUGAGGCAUCCAAUUACCCACAGAGAUAGGAAGUAAGGACGCAUGUAUAAUUAUUAUCAUUAAUUAAAGCAUAUAUAAUUACAUUAAAUAUAGGAUAAACUAUAAAAAUAAUCACUUUUAUUUACCUCAUAUUACAUUUUAGUCACUUAUGUUUGAAAUGUUACAUUUUGGUCACUUACGUUAUCGUUUUGGUACGAAGUGGUCACUCUACCGUUAAGCUCCGUUACCUCCCUAACGGCGAUUCUACGUGAUAGUCCAAAUGAGUUUUAAAUGCCAACUUAAAUGUCUUGCGUGGCUGUCUAAAUUAAAUUUAUUUAAUUAAAAACUUAUUUUCAUCUCAACAACCGGACAUUCAAGUUCGCAUUUAAAACCCAUUUAGACUGCCACGUAGGACUGCCGAUAGGGAGGUAACAGAGUUUGAUAGUAGAGUAACCACUUCAUAACAAAACGAUAAUGUAAGUGGCUAAAACAUAACAUUUCAAACAUAAGUAAUUAAAAUAUAAUAUAAGGUAAACAAGCCUUAAAUAUAUAAAUUACUAUGAUUACUAUCAAGAUAGCAUUGACCUGUUCAACAGGCGGAACCAAUAGAUCUGACCAUUUGGUGACUCUAGCAGUCGAUAAGUGUGAGUGGCAGACUGUGCAACUUGUAACUAUGUUAAUUGAUGAAAAGCUUUUUGAUAGAAGAUAAUAAACUAGUGGCAAUGGCAAACGGUUCCAAGACGAGGUGGGACACCGAGGCUUUGUGUAACAGGGGAAUAGAUGCACUCAAUGCUGGCGGCUGUUGACUUGUAUUUCUCUCUAACAAUUUAAAUCACCAGCUUGCUUCAUCCAUCUAUAAAUAAGGGUCUUCUUCAGUUUCAUAAAUGCAUAGAAAAUUAACAAGCUCAAAUUCCUUCUUUUCAUAUUCAUCUCUUUUACUUUGAAUUGCAACUUUAUCCUGCCUAAAUUCCUCAACCAUGAACCACCCAUCAGGACAGCCUCAAAAUGAACUUCCUUGGUCCGCCGGAUUCUGCGAUUGUUGCUCUGACCUGAAAACUUGUAACCCUUUCUUCUUUCUUCAAUAUCAGUUCUGUCUUUUUAAUUAUAUGAAUUAGUUUAUCAAUUAAAUAUAUGGACAUUUCAGGUUGCAUUUCAUACUGGUGCCCAUCCAUCACCUUUGGCCAGAUUGCUGAGAUUGUUGAUAAAGGGUCGACUUGUAAGUUAUUAAUUUCUAAAUUGAAAUCUUAUCAUCUUAGGUUUUGCAGACAUAUAUAUAUUUAAAGAGAUAUUAUGUAAUUAAUAAUAAUGUUGAAAAACACUGUUGGAUGGUGCAGCAUGUCGGGCAAGUAGGGCACUAUACACAUUAAUAAUGUUCAUCACCGGGUGUGGGUGCUUAUAUUCUGGCUGCUACCGAUGCAAACUGAGAAAGCAGUAUAACUUGAAAGGAGGCGAUUGUGGCGAUUGCAUGCGUCAUUUCUGCUGCGAGCCUUGUGCCUUGACACAAGAGUAUCGUGAGCUCCAGAACCGUGGAUUCGACAUGUCUAUCGGUAUGUCUACAUACCAAUAUUAUACCCCUUUUAAUUAUUCUUAAUAUAACUUCAAGUAUAUUAAUUGAGUAGCUGUAAACAAAUAUCUCCGAAUAAAUAUGUUGGUAAUGAUGAGAUAAAUUAUUGUUUGAGGUCAUUAAUUUUGUGGGGGUAUAUUUAUAUAUGCAGGUUGGCAUGCAAAUGUGGAGAAGAACCCAGGGCUGGCAAUGGCUCCAGCGGUAGAAAAAGGCAUGAGCAAAUAGAUGAUGAUGAUGAUGAGACCACUGCAUUAAUAUCAUCUUUACAUGUAACACUUAAUUCCUUGGCUUUCCAUAAUUGGUUGAUUGUACGGCUUGCCAAUUGAAUUUCAAGUUAUGUAUGUUUGUGAUUGUCAAAUAUAUUAAUAAAAAGUGUUACUAUUCAUGUUAGAUCUUCAUGAAUAAGAAUGAGAAUCGAAAAUAACUUGUAAUAUUGUGUGUGCAUGUUUGGUAUUUAGGUGAAAUACUUAGAAAGAGAGGUUGGAUUAAAUUAAUUUUUUAUUAUCAAAAUGGAUGAUUUUAAUUUUUAUAUUAAUAAAAAGAAUUAAAUAAAAUUAAUAUUUAUUGUUUUAGAAAAUGACAUCAAAUUAUUGUUUUUUAUAGUUCAAUCCAAAUAAAAUAUCUACAAAAUCAUUAAAAACUUUUAAAAUGUGACUUUGUUAAAUAGUAAAUAGCAUUUUUUUAAAAGGGUUCAUAUAUAUCGUGAUACCUAAAGUUGGCAACUUCUACUUAGUAUCUAAAUCGGUACAUAAACUUGAAAAUUGUAAGUCAACUUCGUAUUUUUAUAAGUAUGAUGAUGUUGGUGUAGUGUGAGGAAGAAGACUUGAAUGGGUUUGAUUAUUUUUAAUAAUACAGGAAUUUACAUAUUAUAAGUAAAUAGACACUCACAUUCUUUAUGUAUUAUAAGGAAGAAGACUAAGUCGAUCUACUUUGUAAUCUCAUCAAUCUUAAUUUUCUCAAUUGUUAAGGGAGUUCAAAUGAAAUACAAAAUUUUGGUAAAAAAAAGUAUCCAAUUUUGUGAAUAAAAAAUAUAUGGUAAAAAAGAUUUGGUAUCGAUACUUCGGCGCGGGUAUCAAUACUCGAUACAUUGCUUUUGGUUGGAAAGUAGUGUCUGGAACGGCCAUGGGAUGUGUUGUUUUCCAAACCGGUAAGGCGAAAAGGUUUGUGAAUUUGGUUGAAGACCAACAUGAGAAGAGGCGAAGAAGAAAACCAAAAUAUAGCAAUCGCAUCAAUGGAUGAAGAAGGAUCUAGUUGGUGCAAAUGAAGUUAAAGCAUUUGUGCUGUGUCUUCAUAAUUUCUUGUUUAGUAGUCUGUCAGAAAGUUUUUCCUAUGGUGAAAAGUUGCAUUGGUAUGUGUCUGUCUUUAUGAUUGUACCAAUUCCUCUGUAUUUCAUUGCAUUUCGUACUAUUUGUAAGGGUUUAGUUCGAGUGUAACAUCUUGUAUGGUGCAACUAUGUAUGUCUUCUUUCUUGAUUAUUGAAAUUAUAAUCAAAAUUAAUACAUGUUCUUUUUAUUAGCUUAAGGGCGUAAAAACACUUCAAAAUUUUCAAAAAAUAAAAUAAAAUUUUAAGUCCCUCUUUUUUUUACACUCAAUUGAAAUUUUUAAAAUGUAUCAAAAAUAUCUUUACAGUUCUUCAAAAAAAAAAACAAUUAAACCCCUAUUUUUUUUCCGCUCAAUUGGGUACUUGAACUUUCAUAAUGCAUCAAAAAUGCCUUAAAUUUUUUUCAAAAAAGCAAUUAAGCCCCUACUCUUAUUAAAAAUUAGAAAAAAAUCAUAAAAAUAAUAAAUUUUAGAAAAAAUUAUUAAAUUUUAAUAAAAAUUUAAAAUUUUAUUAAAAAUUAGAAUUUUUUUUUAGAAAAAUCGUCAAAAAAUAAAAAAUUAUAAAAUCCAUCAAAAAGUUUUAACAAUUAACUUUAACUAUUGAUCGUUAAAGUUAACGACCUCUAGUUUUUUCAAUUAAAGUCAUUAUGUGUCGCAACUCAACGUGACAUGUAGCGAAAAUAGAUAAAAAAGUAAAAAUCAAUAAAAGUUAUAGAAAAAUUAUAAAAUAUUUCUUUUGGUAGAAUAAUUUUUAUAAAUUUUUUUUACAAAAUUUAUAUUUCUUUACAUUUUGUAUAAUUUUCUUAUAACUUUAUAAAAUUUUAUAAAUUUUUAUAUUUCUAUAUAUUUUAAAAUUUUUUAAAAUUUUUAUAAAAUUUUACAAUUUUUAUAUAUUUUUAAUAAAUUUUUAAUAUUUGAUUUUUUAUUAAAAUUUAAUAAUAUUAUAGAUUUUAUUGAUUUUAAUUUUUUAUCUAAUUUUUAAUAAAAUUAGGGGGUUAAUUGCUUUUUUUUUAAGUUUGAGGGUCUUUUUGAUGCAUUUUGAAAGUUCAAGUACCCAAUUGACUGCAAAACAAAAAGAAAAAAAGUAGGGGCUUAAUUGCUUUUUUUGAAAAUGUUUGAGGGCUUUUUUGAUGUAUUUUGAAAGUUCAAGUACCCAAAUGAGUGCAUAAAAAGAACAGGGGUUUAGUUGCUAUUUUGAAAAAGUUUGAGGGCUUUUUGCACCUUUAAACCUCUUUUCUUUUUCUAAAUUUAAUUUAGAACCAACUUUGUGUAAAGACUUGGGAAAUUUAAUUAGCAAAAUUUCUUUCCAUGUAAAAAUUUCCCCUAUUUCUUGUUUGAAUUUAAAGCAAUACAAUAUUUUUCUAGCAAAUAAUAGAAAAUGACAGUCAAUUAAUUCCAGCAAUACAACAUUUCCAGUCUGGUGGAAAACAGCUAGGGACCAAAUUUUUAAAGUGUUGUUUACUACACACUUAGGGACCAUAUAUGUAUAUAUAUAUAUUCCAGUCUGGGUCUUUGUCGUGUUUUGUUGGUUGGCUAUGGCCUUCUUGUUGUUUCAUGGCCACUGCCCGUGAAUUAAGUCAUAUGUGGCCUUGUUUGCUAGACCUUAGUUGCUAAGUUAAAGGGAGUGAAUAGAGCACCAUAUUUCUUCUUCUGCGUGGAAAAUAAGUUGGCAUUAUGCCAAAUUCCACAUUCAUACAUAGAAAGGAAGCAAGGCCAAGUCAUUAUACUUUGUAAUCUCAUCAAUUCUAAUUAUUUCACUUCUUCAUUCUUUAGGGAGUUCAAGUGAAAUACAAAUUUUUCCACAUCCAAUCUCAUAAAUAAUCCGUCUUUGAACUUUCACAAAAAAAUAUUAAAUACCCAUUCACUUUAAUUCUACUAUUCUUAAAUCAUUCAAGUUUUGUGGAAAAUAUGCUUCUUGGAUAAAAUUAUUCAACACACAUGCCUUGAAUUUUAUGCAAUAAAAUAAAUCAAUAUAGGCCACACAUGCUUUGAAUAUUUAAGUAGUCCACAAUUUUGUUCGUUUGUGUGCAAAAUUCUACAUUGCUUGACAGCCAUACAUUCUAAGUAAAUAGACACCCACAUUGUUUACGUAUUAUGAAGAAGAAGACUAAGUCAGUCUACUUUGUAAUCUCAUCAAUCUUAAUUUUCUCAGUUAUUUAGGGAGUUCAAAUGAAAUACAAAAUUUUGGGAAAAAAAAUGUAUCCAAUUUUGUGAAUGAAAAAUAUAUGGUAAAAAGGAUUUGGUAUGGAUACUUCGGCUCGGGUAUCAAUACUCAGGGUAAGUUUAUCGAUACAUUGCUUUUGGUUGGAAAGUGGUGUUGAUAGGUGAUGACUAAAAUUUGAUAAAUUUGAAAAGUACAUGAAAUUUAACGAUUAUUGUUUGGUGAUGACUAAAAUUUUAAAAUUUGAAAAGUACAUGAACUAAAAAUGACCAAAUUAAAGUAUAAAGAUUAAGUCCACAACUUUUGCAAAGUACAAGGACUAAUAGCAGAAAUUAACCUAAAUUUCAUAUGGGUCAAUUACAAAAAUAAUCACUAAACUAUUCCUUUGGUUCUAUUCUAGUCACUCAACUAUAGAGGUGCUCAUGGGCUGAGCCAGGUCAAGCCUAAGUAUGAUAUUAAUGUAUUUUAUACUUGCUCAAGCUUGGCUCGGCCUGAAAUAUGAGCUUAAAAUUUUGCCUGAACUCAUCCAUAUUUGCAAAAGACUAACCCAAGCUCAUUUUAAGCAUGCCUAUAUAAUUUUUAAUUUUUUUUAAAUAUUUAUAUUAUAUUAUAUUAAUUAAUAAUUUAAACAUUUUUUAUUUAUUAAAAUUUUUUAUAGUCAUUUUAACAUUAUUUUAAUGUUUACAUUAUAGUAUUAUUAUAUAUUUAGUAUAAGUAUUUUUUUAAUAUGUUCUAAUUUAUAUAAUAUAAAGUAUUAUACACUUAAAAACGGGCCGGGCUGGGCUUGAGCUUUAGUUGUUACUCAACUAUUAAUUUUUUCGAUUUAGUUGUUAACCUUUUCAAAAGUAAAUAUUUUAGUCAGUCUCCUAUUAGUUGUUGUUAAAUGAGUGACGGAAAGCUAAUGUGAGCUUUUUUUAUUAGUCUAAUAACAAAUUUAGCCCUCCAAUGUUUACACAUUCUAUCAAUUUGAUCGUAAAUAUAAAAAAAAAAUCAACAAAUUUAGCCCUGAAUAUUAACAAAACUUGUCAUUUUAGUUCAAAUUCUAAAAAAUUUAAUAAAUUUAACCUUUAAUAUUUUCAAAAAAAUAGCAAUUUAGUUCUAAUUCUAAAAAUUUUAAUAUAUAUAUUUAAAAAAAUAUUUCUAAUCCUCUGUCUCACCCUUUGAUUUUUUAGAUGAGCUAAAAUCAAAAUAUAUCAUUAUGUCUUUUUGUUUUAAUGCUAAAAGAGAUAAAAAAAAAUGGAAAGCUAAAAUGGCUUUUCGUUUGUGAAGUUACAAAAUGCCAAAUAAAUUAUUAUGUCUUUUUAGUUUUAAUUUUUUACUUGAUUAAAAGAGAAAUAAUUAACGAAUGAAAAAUAAUUAUUCACAAAUAAAUUUAUCAGAAUUUAUAACAAAUGAGAUUUUAAAUUUGAAUUUAUAAAUCAAAAUUUAUAUAUAUAUAUAUAUAAAAGAAAACACAUUUUUAUGAAAUAUAAGAUUUUGUUAAAAGAAAGAGCAUAUAAAAGCAUACACGUUUUUAUGAAAUACAAGAUUUUGCUAAAAGAAAAAGCAUCCAAUUUUAAGAAUGAAAAAUAUAUGGUAAAAGCAUCCAUAACUUUUCAAUAUAAAAGAAAAAAAAGACUAACACCAAUGUUGUGGUAUUAUUUGUUGCCUAUAAAUACCAUUCCUAUCCUUCUUCUUCCUCUACAAACAUAACAUGGCCCCCUAUCUCUUUCUCUGCCUAUUCCUCUUCUUUCCCCAUCUUUAUGCUUCUUUUCUUCUUCAGAAUCUCACUCCUGCUCUUCACUAAUCCAGUUUAAGGACUCUUUUUCCAUCACAAAGGAUGCUUCCUGGUAUUUCGAUUAUAUUACUGGCCUUAAAUCUUAUCCCAAGACAAAUUCAUGGAAGGAGGGUACAGAUUGCUGCUCAUGGGAUGGGGUCACUUGUGACCACCUAAAUGCUCAUGUUAUUGCCCUUGACUUGAGCUGCAGUUGGCUAUAUGGCACCUUCCCUUCCAAUACCACUCUCUUCCUUCUUCCUCACCUUCAAAAACUCAACCUUGCCUACAAUCAUUUUAAUUCUUCCAAAAUUCCAUCCGAGUUCGGUCGGUUUACAAGCCUAUUCUACCUCAACCUUUCCAAUACAUGGUUUUCAGAAGUCCCAUCCCAAGUCUCCCACCUGUCAAAAUUGGUUUCACUUGAUCUCUCCUCUCGGAUUGAUUACUCUGGGCAAGUUACAAUUGACAAACAUGCUCUGGAGGGACUUGUUCACAACCUAACCGAGGUCAGACAUCUGUUUUUGGAUGGAAUCAACAUGACUUCUGUUAAUGCUCAUGUCUUCAUGAAUCUAUCCUCUUCUCUAAGGUCUCUCAGUCUUGCUUUUUGUGAUUUGCAAGGAAAAUUCCCAAAAAACAUUUUUGAUUUGCAAAACCUCAAUCUCCUCAACUUGAGAUACAACCAAUUGAGUGGACAAAUUCCAAGAUCAUUGGGGAACCUCUUGCAACUCACUCAUUUACACUUGUCGGGGAACCAAUUGAGUGGACAAAUUCCAUUGUCAAUUCUAAACCUAACGCAGUUGGAAUACUUGGAAAUAUCUGAAAAUUCUUUAGAAGGUUCCAUUCCAGAUGAGGUAACCGCUUUUCCUAAUCUAAUAUAUUUAUACUUAUCUGACAAUUUACUCAAUGGAACACUUCCGUCAUGGUUGUAUACUGCUCCCUGCUUAAAGGAAAUAUAUCUCUCUCAAAAUCAAUUCAGUGGGCAUAUCAAAGAAUUCCAAACCAAAUCACUAGAAUAUUUAUAUCUAGAAAAUAAUAAACUCCAAGGUCCCCUUCCAUCUUCAAUAUUCCAACUUCUCAAUCUUACCGGGCUCCUUUUAUCCUCAAAUAAUCUUAGUGGUGUCAUAGAGUUGAGCAUGUUCUCAAACCUUCCAAAUCUCAAAUAUCUUGACCUUUCAUAUAACAGCCUAUCCUUAAUAUCUAAUACUACUUCUACUGUUAAUCAUAUAUUGCCUAAUCUUACAGGCUUACAUUUGUCAUCUUGCAAUCUUAGUGAAUUCCCCCAGUUUUUAAAAGGGCUUAAAAGUUUGGAAAGCUUAGACCUCUCUUGCAACAAAAUUGAAGGCAAGAUUCCACAGUGGAUGCAAGAGGUGGGGAAUGUCUCUUUGACUUACUUCAACGUAUCUCACAACUCUUUGACAGAAGUUGAGCACUUUCCAUGGAAGAAUAUUGAAAGUCUUGACUUAAGCUCCAAUUUGAUCAGUGGAAAUCUUCCGAUUCCAGCUUCGACCAUCAAUGUCUUUCUGAUCUCAAAUAAUAGUUUCAAUGGAGAGGUCUCUUCUUUAAUCUGCAAUGCCAGUGAUCUUGAAAUUCUUGAUUUGUCCCACAAUAACUUGAGUGGAACAAUUCCGCAAUGUUUUGGAAAUUUGAGCAACAGCCUUGAAUUCUUGAAUCUGAAGAAGAACAAGUUCUAUGGGACGAUUCCUCCAAAAUUUGCAAAGGGAUGCCGAUUGACUAAUUUCAACUUAAAUGGAAAUCUGUUAGAAGGGCCAUUGACUCCAUCCAUCCUUAAUUGUAGGGGUCUGGAAGUGCUAGAUCUUGGUAACAACAAGAUCAAU
rnacentral:lncRNA from 1 species